rnacentral:rRNA from 1 species
CCCCUAGGAAGGUGCAAGCGUUAAUCGGAAUCACUGGGCGUAAAGCGCUCGUAGGUGGCUUUGUAAGUCAGGUGUGAAAGCCCACGGCUCAACCGUGGAAUUGCACUUGAUACUGCAUUGCUUGAGUUCGGGAGAGGGUAGUGGAAUUCCAGGUGUAGGAGUGAAAUCCGUAGAGAUCUGGAGGAACACCAGUGGCGAAGGCGACUACCUGGACCGAUACUGACACUGAGGAGCGAAAGCGUGGGGAGC